AAAUAUAUACACACAGCACACAGUCACAUGAUACACAGUAACAGGUAUACACACAGCACACAGUCACAUGAUACACAGUAACUGGUAUACACACAGCACACAGUCACAUGAUACACAGUAACAGGUAUGCACACAGUCACAUGAUACACAGUAACAGGUAUGCACACAGCACACAGUCACAUGAUACACAGUAACAGGUAUGCACACAGCACACAGUCACAUGAUACACAGUAACAGGUAUACACACAGCACACUGUCACAUGAUACACAGUAACAGGUAUACACACAGUCACAUGAUACACAGUAACAGGUAUACACACAGUCACAUGAUACACAGUAACAGGUAUGCACACAGCACACAGUCACAUGAUACACAGUAACAGGUAUACACACUGUCACAUGAUACACAGUAACAGGUAUACACACUGUCACAGGAUACACAGUAACAUGAUACACACAGCACACAGUCACAUAAUACACAGUAACAGGUAUACGCACAGUCACAUGAUACACAGUAACAGGUAUACACACAGCACACUGUCACAUGAUACACAGUAACAGGUAUACGCACAGCACACUGUCACAUGAUACACAGUAACAGGUAUGCACACAGUCACAUGAUACACAGUAACAGGUAUACGCACAGUCACAUGAUACACAGUAACAGGUAUACGCACAGUCACAUGAUACACAGUAACAGGUAUACGCACAGUCACAUGAUACACAGUAACAGGUAUACACACAGCACACUGUCACAUGAUACACAAUAACAGGUAUACACACAGCACACUGUCACAUGAUACACAGUAACAGGUAUACGCACAGUCACAUGAUACACAGUAACAGUCACAUGAUACACAGUAACCGGUAUACACACAGCACACAGUCACAUGAUACACAGUAACAGGUAUACACACAGCACACAGUCACAUGAUUCACAGUAACAGGUAUACACACAGCACACAGUUACAGGAUACACAGUAACCGGUAUACGCACAGGAUACACAGUCACAUGAUACACAGUAACAGGUAUACACACAGUUACAGGAUACACAGUAACAGGUAUACACACAGCACACAGUCACAUGAUACACAGUAACAGGUAUGCACACAGUUACAGGAUACAUAGUCACAAGUAUGCACACAGUCACAUGAUACACAGUAACAGGUAUACACACAGCACACUGUCACAUGAUACACAGUAACAGGUAUACACACAGCACACAGUCACAUGAUACACAGUAACAGGUAUACACACAGCACACAGUCACAUGAUUCACAGUAACAGGUAUACACACAGCACACAGUUACAGGAUACACAGUAACAGGUAUACACACAGCACACAGUCACAUGAUACACAGUCAUAGGUAUACACACAGCACACAGUCACAUGAUACACAGUAACAGGUAUGCACACAGUUACAGGAUACAUAGUCACAGGUAUGCACACAGCACACAGUCACAUGAUACACAGUAACAGGUAUACACACAGCACACUGUCACAUGAUACACAGUAACAGGUAUACGCACAGGAUACACAGUCACAUGAUACACAGUAACAGGUAUACACACAGUCACAGGAUACACAGUAACAGGUAUACACACAGCACACAAUCACAUGAUACACAGUAAAAGAUAUACACACAGCACACAGUCACAUGAUACACAGUAAAAGAUAUACACACAGCACACAGUCACAUCAUACACAGUAACAGGUAUACGCACAGUCACAUGAUACACAGUAACAGGUAUACACACAGCACACUGUCACAUGAUACACAGUAACAGGUAUACACACAGCACACUGUCACAUGAUACACAGUAACAGGUAUACACACAGCACACUGUCACAUGAUACACAGUAACAGGUAUGCACACAGCACACAGUCACAUGAUACACAGUAACAGGUAUACACACAGCACACUGUCACAUGAUACACAGUAACAGGUAUGCACACAGCACACAGUCACAUGAUACACAGUAACAGGUAUACGCACAGCACACUGUCACAUGAUACACAGUAACAGGUAUACGCACAGCACACAGUCACAUGAUACACAGUAACAGGUAUACACACAGCACACUGUCACAUGAUACACAGUAACAGGUAUGCACACAGCACACUGU